UUAGCCUCCCCAUUAGAACAGUAGAUCAUCCUUACCAAGGUUAGAAGGAGACCACGGUUGCAGUCUUCUCUAUUUAUCACUCACAUCGAAAGACAUUCUUUGUGCCUAAAGGUUAGUAGUAAUAGACCGGUUAGUCAGAUGCACUCUUUCUCCUAGUGGUAAAAAAAUAAAUACGAUACUCUGGAUAAUUUCCCGGGUGAAGUGCUCACCGAUAUCCGUGCGCUUGCGGAUCAAUUCCUUAUUGCGUUCCCAAAUAUCAACAAGCAUUUCUAGCGCCGUUGCCGGGGAGAAAGACGGUUGCUGAGAUAACCUGAGUCUUGCUAUUAGCUUGUAUCUAUACUUUUAUCUUUUAUAUCCUUUAUUUAUUUUUCUUUAUUCUUACCUUAUGGAAACCAAAAUUCUAAAUCGAUCCAUGAGUCUGCAAUCCCUUUAGCAACUGACCUUUUACCAUGGGAAUCAUCACAGCCUAUCCAAACAUCCCAGUAUAAGUUAAGUUCUAGGUUGAUUGCCAUGAUUCAAAACCUAUCU
rnacentral:lncRNA from 1 species